ACGACAACGUGUGGCGGCCGGGCAUUUGUAGUAGUGCAUGUGUUCGCAUUGUUAGCAAAUGUGAAAGACAUGGUGUGGAGUUCCAUCUUACACUGACAGCUACACCUUAAGUCUCCAACCAUCAGAGUUGAUGUUUGAAUCUGUGGUCACCUCAUAACACUGUUUGGACUGGAGCUCACCUGUGCUGCCGCCAAAGCUCAGCUGUCAAGGGUGGCCGGCGGACGCGUCGUCCGGACGCC